GGCUAUGUAGCUCAGUUGGUUAGAGCAUCGCACUCAUAAUGCGAGGGUCACAGGUUCGAAUCCCGUCAUAGCCACCA
rnacentral:tRNA from 31 species